rnacentral:rRNA from 1 species
AAGGGGUGUAUUUAUUAGAUUAAAAACCAAUGCCCUUCGGGGCUCACUGGUGAUUCAUGAUAACUCCUCGAAUCGCAUGGCCUUGUGCCGGCGAUGGUUCAUUCAAAUUUCUUCCCUAUCAACUUUCGAUGUUUGGGUAUUGGCCAAACAUGGUUGCAACGGGUAACGGAGGGUUAGGGCUCGACCCCGGAGAAGGAGCCUGAGAAACGGCUACUACAUCCAAGGAAGGCAGCAGGCGCGCAAAUUACCCAAUCCCGACACGGGGAGGUAGUGACAAUAAAUACUGAUACAGGGCUCUUUUGGGUCUUGUAAUUGGAAUGAGUACAAUUUAAAUCCCUUAACGAGGAACAAUUGGAGGGCAAGUCUGGUGCCAGCAGCCGCGGUAAUUCCAGCUCCAAUAGCGUAUAUUAAAGUUGUUGUGGUUAAAAAGCUCGUAGUUGAACCUUGGGCCUGGCUGGCCGGUCCGCCUCACCGCGUGUACUGGUCCGGCCGGGCCUUUCCCUCUGUGGAACCCCAUGCCCUUCACUGGGUGUGGUGGGGAACCAGGACUUUUAC